GAUGAGAACGCAGCGAAAUGCGAAAAGUAAUGUGAAUUGCAGAAUUCAGUGAACCAUCGAAUCUUUGAACGCACAUUGCGCCCGCUGGAACUCCGGCGGGCACGCCUGUCCGAGCGUCAUUUCAACCCUCAGGCCCCCCUUCGCGGGCGGGCCUGGUGUUGGGGCCCGGCCGCUACCCUGCGGCCGUCCCCUAAAUCCAGUGGCGGCCUCGCCGUGAUCCCUUGCGUAGUAAUGCACCUCGCACCGGAGAGCGCCGUGGCCACGCCGUAAAACCCCCAAUUUUCAAUGGUUGACCUCGGAUCAGGUGGGAAUACCCGCUGAACUUAAGCAUAUCAAUAAGCGGAGGA
rnacentral:misc_RNA from 1 species